CAGUCGCCACGGUAAUACGAAGGGGGCUAGCGUUGUUCGGAUUUACUGGGCGUAAAGGGUGCGUAGGCGGAUUGUUAAGUCAGGGGUGAAAUCCCGAGGCUCAACCUCGGAACUGCCUUUGAUACUGGCGAUCUUGAGUCCGGGAGAGGUGAGUGGAACUGCGAGUGUAGAGGUGAAAUUCGUAGAUAUUCGCAAGAACACCGGUGGCGAAGGCGGCUCACUGGCCCGGUACUGACGCUGAGGCACGAAAGCGUGGGGAGCAAACAGGAUUAGAUACCCCAGUAGUCCCUGUCUCUUAUAC
rnacentral:rRNA from 1 species